CAAUAGCGUAUAUUAAAGCUGUUGCGGUUAAAAAGCUCGUAGUUGGAUUUCUGUCAAGGACAACUGGUCCGCCCCUCGGGUGAGCACAUAGUUUGGUCUUGGCAUCUUGUUGGAAACUGUUGCUGCACUUGGUUGUGUGGCGCAGUGUCCAGCACUUUCACUUUGAGGAAAUUGGAGUGUUUCAAGCAGGCACAUGCCUUUGGACACAGUAGCAUGGAAUAAUUAGAUUGGGCUUUUGCUCCAACUUGUCGGUUUCUGGAGCUGAGGUGAGAAUUAAUGGGGAUUGUUGGGGGCAUCCGAAUUUAGCUGUCAGAGGUGAAAUUCUUGGAUCUGCUAAAGACGGACAACUGCGAAAGCGUUUGCCCAGGAUGUUUUCAUUGA
rnacentral:rRNA from 1 species